ensembl:lncRNA
GGGGCACGCAUGGUGCUGUUAGAAUGAGCUGACUAAUGACAUUACUAAAUUAUAAUUAGUAGAAAAAAUACUUUUCUGCAUCCAUGCAGUCAUGUUUAGACUAAAUGCAUUUUAAUUCUUAUAAUUUCUCUCUCAUCAGGCCUUUUAAAUACCUCAGACUCAGUGUCUGGACCCGGGACACACUUGUUGCUAGUUCUGUCCAGUUCUGCACUCCACUGGUACUGAUUUACUGAGCCUUGGCCUUCUUGCAAUCCCGCACUCACAAAAGAGGUGUGAUCUGUUAUCCCCACAGUCGCCACCGAUGAUACUGGAGCAACGAGAGCAAGACUGCAUGGAGCCAAGGAGACGAGCAUCGAUCCUGGCAAUUUUUCCCCUUGGACACCCUGAUUCCUGAUGAGCACAGCAUGGGUGACAUUCGAGUGAAAGUGUUUACAGGUUCCUAUAUCUCAGAUCACAACAGCACCGAGCAGAGGAGCAGCCAACAAGAAGCAGGUCCAACAACAUGCCUCUCAGCACGAGCGGGAAGUCUAAUUUUCACAUCUGCUCAUGUGAGAGGCUUAAAUCAACAAUCACUUAAGAUAUCAAGACUAUAUAAAUUACAAUGAAUUUAACGAGCAAAGCUCUUAAACUUCCAAUAUUGUGAGUGUUUGAAGGUCCCUGCUGAGUUGAGCAACUGUGGUGAGUAACCAAUGACUCAAAGAAGUGGCAGAAGUUCAGGUCUCUGUUCCACAGAAAGCUUAAAUGAUGCUGCCAUGUUUUGUAUUCCUGGCAGCUAGUGAUGAUGGCACAUCCUAGAAGAUCUUUAUCUUCAUCUAUGAACAUGGCACACUUUGUUCUGUUUAUUAUCAGUAUUGAUGGCCAGGAAAUUAGGUAAUGAGUAAAUACUAUGUGUUAUUAUUUCCAUGUUAAGCAUCAAUUUCACUAUUGCUCCUUAUAAUUGACAAAAUGAUCAUACCUAUGAUUUUCACUUAUUAGGCGAUAAAACAGUUGAAACAUCUCAUACACAUAGACGUUCCGAAUUUUGGGCUUUGUAAGAUGUUUAUUAAUGAUUUUUUUAUUUGUGAAUUUUCUAUUUAUUUAAUUACUAGGAUUCCUUGAUACAUAAAACAUUCAAAAGACAGCAUUUGUUUGAAAUGGAAAUCUUCUGUAACAUCAUAAAUGCUCACAACCUCAUGCAAGAACUUUUGCAUAGGCAAUUACAUUUUUUAAG